rnacentral:rRNA from 1 species
AUCCCCUUCGAGCACCCUGCCACCUUUGACACGCUCGUCAUGCACCCUGAUGAGAAGGAGGCCGUCAUCGACGACCUCAUGGCAUCCAAGGAGAGCAAGGAAUACUACGCCAAGGUCGGCAAGGCAUGGAAGCAUGGGUACCUCCUCUAUGGAUAGCCCAACACCGGCAAGUCCACCAUGAUCGCCUUCAUGGCCAACUUCCUUGACUACGACAUCUACGACCUCGAGCUCACAACGUUCAAGAACAACACCAAGUUGCGGAAGCUCUUCAUCGAGACCACGGGCAAGUCCAUCAUCUUCAUAGAGGACAUUGACUGCUCCGUCGACCUCACGGGAAAACGUCGCAAGGACAAGAAGACCGCAAGCAACAAGGACUCCAAGAAUGAUGACAAGCCCAUGCUACCGGUAGAGCCGGAGAAGGACGACGUCACCAAGGUGACGCUCUCAGGCCUGCUUAACUUUAUUGACUGGCUGUGGUCUGCUUACGGAGGUGAGCGGAUCAUCAUCUUCACCACCAAACACAAGGAGAAGCUAGACCAGGCGUUGAUCCAGAGGGGCGGGAUGGACAAGCACAUCGAGAUGUCCUACUGCCGCUUCAAGGGCUUCAAGCUGCUCGCCAAAAACUACCUAGAUGUCAUCGAGCAUUAGCUCUUUGCGGAAAUUUAGCGUCUACUCAAGGAGAUAGACAUGUCGCCUGCCGACGUUGCAGAGAACCUGAUGCCCAUGUCAAAGAAGAAGAGGGAGCCCGACGAGUGCUUGACAAGCCUCAUUGAGGCGCUCAAAGAGGCCAAAGAGGAUGCUGCGGCCGCCAUGGAGGCUGCAGCAAACAAAGCCAAGGAGAAAGAGGAGGCAGAGGUGAAGAAAGCCAAGGAGGAAGACAAAGGGAAGGACAAAGCACCGGAGGAAGCCAAUGGAGAUAUCAACAAGUGA